rnacentral:misc_RNA from 1 species
GAUGAAGAACGUAGCGAAAUGCGAUAAGUAAUGUGAAUUGCAGAAUUCAGUGAAUCAUCGAAUCUUUGAACGCACAUUGCGCCCGCGAGUAUUCUCGCGGGCAUGCCUGUCCGAGCGUCAUUUCAACCCUCAGGGCCCGCCUGCUUCGGCAGGCGCGGCGCUGGUGUUGGGGAUCGGCCUAACCGCCGUCCCCCAAAUACAGUGGCGGUCUCGCUGCAGCCUCCCCUGCGUAGUAGCAACACUCGCAGGCGGAGCGCGGCGCGGCCACGCCGUAAAACCCCCGACUUUCUGAACGUUGACCUCGGAUCAGGUAGGAAUACCCGCUGAACUUAAGCAUAUCAAUAAGCGGAGGA